UCCCCGAUGGCACAAUUGGCUAGCGCGUCAGACUGUUACAGUUCGAAUUGGUAUUACAUAAGACCAUUGACGACCGUGAUCUGGAGGUUGGUGGUUCGAGCCCACCUCGGGGAG
rnacentral:tRNA from 1 species